CCUCCGCAAUUACUACUCGCAGGGUGUUGGCGUGAUUGCAAGAGCCAUGAUCGAGUUUGAGAACCCUCAGCUCCCUGCAGCUUUCAGAGAGGCCGUCAGCAUUGUCCAGAGUGAGAAGGAGGAGGAGCAGAGAAAUAUCGCCAUGACUUUCUGCACUGAGUUUCUUCAGAGUGCUUCUAUUGCCACGACAGUGACAAAAUCAGACCUCCGGGCGCAGUUCAUGGAGUAGAUCAAAGACACAAAUCCCAUCAUACGCAGGCUCAGUCUACGGGGCCUUGGCA